rnacentral:misc_RNA from 1 species
AAGUCGUAACAAGGUUUCCGUAGGUGAACCUGCGGAAGGAUCAUUAACACGUAUCCACGUAUCAACCCUUCGUGCUCGGUGCUAUUUGUGGGCUAGUUUAUUCAUUCAAGCUUUUGCUUGCCCUUUUAUGUUGUUGGUAUUUUAGGUUUGGGAAAGACUUUCGGGUCUUCUUGAGCAUAAGAGAAAACAGCAAACAAAGGGUUUGUGAAAGACUUGGACUGUUUUACCUUUUAACCCCGUCGUACUUUAAUGUAACUGAACUAUGAUUGUUCUUUUGAUUAAUUUCAAAGACAAUUAUUAUACGAAACGCUUGACAACUCUUAACAACGGAUAUCUUGGUUCUC